rnacentral:rRNA from 1 species
CCCUUAGAUGUUCUGGGCCGCACGCGCGCUACACUGAUGCAUUCAACGAGUUUCUUCCUGGUCCGAGAGGAAUGGGUAACCUUUUGAAAGUGCAUCGUGAUAGGGAUAGACUAUUGCAAUUAUUGGUCUUCAACGAGGAAUUCCUAGUAGACGUAGUUCAUCAGACUGCAUCGAUUACGUCCCUGCCCUUUGUACACACCGCCCGUCGCACCUACCGAUUGAAUGGUCCGGUGAAGUCUUCGGACCGAUGCUAACUCGUUGGCAACGGAAAGUCGAGUAAACCUUACCAUUUAGAGGAAGGUGAAGUCGUAACA